ACGUGCACGGACACGUUCUCCUCGCCCUGCCGCAGGGCGAGCAGCACCCACAAGGACACCAACAGCAAAAAAAAAACAAUGAAAAUGACGGAAGAGCCCCCCAAGAAACAGCAACGACACGAAACGAAGGAGAACGCGAGAAACACGUGUGUGGGUUAGUGACCUCUCUUUUCGUGGGUGCCACCUUUUCGUCGCUGGGCAAGCUGUUUGCUGUGGCUGCGAUACCGUAUUCUGUCUGCUUGUGUGUGUCUGUGUGCGAAGAGAACGACGUUGACUUUGAUCGGCGACACUUGAACACCACGCGUUCUAGUUUUUUUCUUCUUCGCCAGCUGCGCAUACAAACCAAGUCGCAUACCCGUUGCCGCCACACGCACAGACACACCUUUCAUUCCCCCCUCCUCCGCAGCUCUCGUGGAGACACUGCAGCGCUCCUUUUUAUUUUGUGUGACUCUUUCGCGCGUCUUCCGCUUCGCGCAUCGCUCAAAGUGCAUGCGUAGGCGUACUUCUCCUUCCUCACAUCUUUUCCGUUGUGUCUGCGCUUUCCUUCAUCACCGACAAGCCCUGAGCGACUACAAAAACGCACGGAAUAGCCGCAAGACAAAAAAGCGAAAAACAAAGGUGAGUGCUUCAGCACUUAUAUAGGUGGAUGUUGAGUUUCGGGUUCUCCGUUCCUUCACAAACGCUGGCUCGAAAAAAAAAACGCAAAACAACCACAAGACUGUACGGCUAAAGAGGGACUGAUGUGACGGAGAUUUUGCCGCCCUUUUUGUACCCCAGCGUUCUUCUGUGCCUGCGUGCAUGUAUUUGCGGACAGUGCCUCUUGUAUCCCUUCUUCUCUGCCUCCUAGCCUGUGUUUUCCCUUCUUGCACCCCUGCGCUCUAUGGCUUCCUUGCGCGCGCCGCUCUCUCUCUGAGAGCAAUACGUCUCUCUCCGUUGGGUAACCUUCUUUGCAUCCAAGUGAACCGCUCUCUCUAGUUUUUUCUGUUGCUGCUCUCCCUCCCCUUCUCCGUGUUGGUCCGUUCGGUUGUUGUUAUCUCCGCUUUCUCCGAUCCCUGCAUCUCUUCUUGUGUUCGUCUUCCUUGACGCCGGCGUCAUCAUCGAUGACGGCGGACACGCCCAUGUGCGUGGUAUCCCAGACUGCAGUGCAGCCCCCCCCUCCCCUCCCCCCACACCACCAGCUCUCUCCGCGUGGGGAGAAGCCGAGCGGCACCCCUCCCCUCUCCUCUAUCGGCCUGCCCAUGCCGAACCGCUUGUGGCGCUGACAGGGUCAGGGCGAUGUAUCGCUACCCCUGCCAGCGGCCAGGUGCUGCAUCGGCGAGGCAUCGCUGCGGCCUGCGACAGUGCACCGGUCUGACCCGUCCAUAUGAUGGGGGAAGUGCCAGCGCAAUGCAAAGAUGUCUCACCCGGGCCUCACUGCCGACUGGUGUGGGGAGCCGGAGCCCCCUCCCGAGGGGGCCGCACCAGGGGUGGCGGCCUGCAUGGUGGGAGGAGCUGCUGUGAGGCGGGGUGGGUUGGUGGCGUUUGAGGGCAGGGGCCGUGCUCUCAGAUGGCUGAGUCGGCACCUCGCUGCAAGGUGCGUGUGCCUAGGGCCGCCAUCGCCCCACGCGAUGGAGGGCGUGUGACAGGGCCGGGGGUGGAGUGGAGCCCGAACUCAUGUUGUAUGGCAGAGAAACGCGCACGCUGAAAAACAAAAUGCCUUCAUCUUACGCACGCCUCUUUUUCCUCCUCCCUGCGAUCGAUGUUUUUUAUUCCUUGCCGAUCAUCAAAAAAG
rnacentral:misc_RNA from 1 species